rnacentral:lncRNA from 1 species
AACUAUUCUAAGAAACUUAAUUAAUUAUAUAAUCCAAACAAAAAUAUGUAUUUCAAGUCUUCAACACAAUCUUCCAUCGUCAAUUGUUCGAUCUGAAUCCGUUCAUCGCCUCAGGCGAAAUCGCGCAACAGCUAUUCAUUUUCAGUUUCCCCCAAACUAGAGCAAAACACUUGGAGGUGAAAACUUUGUUUGAAGUACAGCACUCCUCCAUCUCGACCAAAGUAAGAAGCCGGCGGAAAUUUUUCUAAAUUGCCCAUCAAAAUACAGAAGCCGAAACAAGAAGGUGAGUGCGCUUAAAAGUCUGGCUAUGGCGAAUUCUCUAAUUCGACUCUUGACUUCGAUUCGAUUGUUUACUGUUCGAGAAGGCAGCUUAAUCUUCUUACAUGUUUAUUCAAUAAUUCUCUCUAGUGGACUUUGGUGUGUGUUUGAAGGUGGUGGUCACAAUGGUGACAGUGGUUUGAUUGUGAGGUGGUGGGUGAUGAUAAGGUGGGCAACGAUGAUAAGGUCUUCUCCCAUGUUUGAAAGGAUGAGAGGACGACAGUAAUUUGGAAAUGGGUCGAGAGGGGAGAAUAAUAAUACUGCGGUCGACAGCAAUUUGGAUUGCCUUGCUGCAUGCCAUUGCAGUCAUUGGUAGCUUGGACCUCAAUCCAUAUGAUUACUGUGCCCGAUACUUCACAACUGAUUGCUACAGAGAUACAUAUUCAGAGUCUAUAUAUCCCAUUUCGCUCCCUACUGGUUUUUUUUUUCAGUUGUAGUAUGUGUUCUGUUGUGUGUUGCAAUAGGUUAUGUGUAGUUGGUGUUCAUUUGGGUGAUUGUAAUAUAUGCUUAGGAUGUUGGUAUGGGAAGUUAGUACAACUAGAGUAUGUUCUUUAGUAUUUGAGAAGAAUUUGUAAUUUCAUUCACUACCAUCUCAGUAAUGUGAAUGUGAUUGAAAACAUGUUGCUGUUUUCGGCUCACCGAUUUGCCUGUAUUGAUACUUAUACAUUGUUAUACAAC